rnacentral:rRNA from 1 species
GCCUACGACCAUACCAUGCUGAAUACGCCCGAUCUCGGAAGCCAAGCAGGUUUGGGCCCCGUUAGUACCUGGAUGGGAGACCGCCUGGGAACACCGGGUGUUGUAGGCU